ACACUCCUGCGGGAGGCAGCAGUGGGGAAUUUUGGACAAUGGGGGCAACCCUGAUCCAGCAAUGCCGCGUGAGUGAAGAAGGCCUUCGGGUUGUAAAGCUCUUUUGUCAGGGAAGAAACGGUAGUAGCGAAUAACUAUUACUAAUGACGGUACCUGAAGAAUAAGCACCGGCUAACUACGUGCCAGCAGCCGCGGUAAUACGUAGGGUGCAAGCGUUAAUCGGAAUUACUGGGCGUAAAGCGUGCGCAGGCGGUUGUGUAAGUCAGAUGUGAAAUCCCCGGGCUCAACCUGGGAAUUGCAUUUGAGACUGCACGGCUAGAGUGUGUCAGAGGGGGGUAGAAUUCCACGUGUAGCAGUGAAAUGCGUAGAUAUGUGGAGGAAUACCGAUGGCGAAGGCAGCCCCCUGGGAUAACACUGACGCUCAUGCACGAAAGCGUGGGGAGCAAACAGGAUUAGAAACCCCUGUAGUCCCAUGAU
rnacentral:rRNA from 1 species